GAAGAGCCUUUCUAUGUACUGUUAAUGGCACUUUCCCUUGCUUUUCUCCACUUGGCAUCAGGUUGGACAAAUUACAUAGUCAGCCCUGCAGGCCACAGUUGACUGGCUCACGAGUGGGGCUCUGACGUGAAAGCAUCAGACUGGACAUUUGGACCUAGGCAGAAGGAGAAGGAGUUUUUCUCCAGCAGCUGGAACCUGAACACAGAAGAGAAAAUACAGAUGCUGAGGAAGGACUCAAAGUGGCGUUCUGGGGUUGUGCCGUUCUCACUCCCCCACUGCAAAUGCCAACUCUCUCUGCCCCAGCGGUGGGGGUAGGGACAAAGGUGCAUCAUCCAUCUACACUCUGUGCUAGGAGAGGAGGACAGGCUAUUAGAAUGCACUGAGAAAUGAGGACAGGCCUGGGAGUUCGAAACCUCACCCAAAUAGCAUGGGUAGUUUCCUAAUUUCCUUUAUUCCAGUUUCCUCAUCUGCAAAAUAAAGGGACUUUAGGUUGAAUGAUUUCUGUGUUUUUUUCCAAGUUAGGUUUCAUUCAUUCAUUCAACUAGCAUUGAAUACCUACAAUGUGCCCAGAGGUAAGGACCAAGAGGACCCCACACUCAGGGUGUCAACAGCUGAGCUUGUCCAGGGGCCAACAAGCAGAAGCAUGUCAUUCCGCCUAAGAAAAUGAGAGGAGGAGGAGGAAGGGGAGGAUGUAUGAAAUUCCUUCUAAGGUUGCUGACUCCUGACUUUCUGAAAAUGACUAAGGAAGACAAGUUCUAAGGGGAAAAUCUGUUGCUUUUCUGAUCACUGGUUUUCCCAGUUGAUGAGGGAGAGGCCUCUAAUGACCUAACCUGGACAACCAGGAUGUGCUGAUUUCUAGAAAUUUCUGUUCAUGACGGAGCACCUGAAGAGAUGGAUUAAACCCAUAGGCCACUUCUCACUUCAACUGAUUCACAUGGACAUUAAUGACCUCUUCAGAAGAAAGUUGAUUGCAUCUCCAAGGCUUUCAAGUUGUAGGAAAAAGAUUUGGAGGCAUGGGUGAUGUUUUCAUCCUUAUUCCAGUUGUUGAAAAGGAAAGUAAGUAUGGACAUGUAACAGGAUAUUCUUUAAAAAAAAUUAUUUUCAUAUUUUUAUUUUAUUUAUUUUUAAAAAGCUGGCUUAAAACCCAAUAUUCAGAAAACUAACAUCAUGGUAUCUGGUCCCAUCACUUCAUGGCAAAUAGAUGGGGAGAAAAUGGAAACAGUGACAAACUUUAUUUUCUUAUGCUCCAAAAUUGCAGCAGAAUGUGACUGCAGCCAUGAAAUUAAAAGACACUUGCUCCUUGGAAGAAAAGCUAUGACAAACCUAGCCAGUGUAUUAAAAAGCAGAGACAUCACUUUCCCGACAAAUGUCCACAUAGUCAAAGCUACGGUCUUUCCAGUAUUCAUGUAUCCUAAAGGAAAUCAAUCCUGAAUAUUCACUGGAGGACUGAUGCUGAAGCUCCAAUACUUUGGCCACCUUAUGUGAAGAGAUGACUCAUUGGAAAAGACCCUGAUGCUGAGAAAAAUUGAAGGUGGGAGGAGAAGGGGAUGAUAGAGGAUAAGAUGGUUGGAUGGCAUCACCAACUCAAUGGACAUGAGUUUGAGCAAACUCCGGGAGACAGUGAAGGACAGGGAAGCCUGGUGUGCUGCAGUCCAUGGAAUCACAAAGAACUGGACAUGACUGAGCAACUGAACAACUAUUUGUUUAUUUGGCUGUGUCAAGUUCUAGUUGCUACCUAUAGGACCUUAAUUCCCAGACCAAGGAUCAAACCUUUGUCCCCUGGAUUGCGAGAUGGAUUCUAAACCACUGGACCGCAAGGGAAAUUCAUGGAUACUCUUUUGAUGCCAACAGGGGAUAGGGAUUUUUUUUUGCUAGAUUAUGGCCUGUGUCACCAGAAAUCUCAUGGCACCUAAGGAGGAUGUUUGUCAGGAUAUUCACAGACAUUAAGUGGGCUUGAAGCUAAAAUUUGAGGGACAGGAAGAAAAACUCUACUAGACAUGGUGAUAAAUGACAAGCCUGACACAUGACUUAUUCCCAAAGGAAGAAUCUGUCUCUCUGAAACUCAAGGGACAGAAUGAUAGAGGGAUUCAUUAUAUAGUAGAUUUUACAUGGAAAAAAAUUUUUUUACAUGGAAAUAUCAAUAGAAUUUUAUUUUAAGACACCCAAGGGCAGAUGAGGAGAUUGUAAAUUGGUCAAAUGUUAAGUAAAAAGAAAUUGUAUUUCUUGGC